UACGUAGGGUGCGAGCGUUGUCCGGAAUUACUGGGCGUAAAGGGCUCGUAGGCGGCCAACUAAGUCCGACGUGAAAUCCCAAGGCUUAACCUUGGAACUGCGUCGGAUACUGGAUGGCUUGAAUUCGGGAGAGGGAUGCAGAAUUCCAGGUGUAGCGGUGAAAUGCGUAGAUAUCUGGAGGAAUACCGGUGGCGAAGGCGGCAUCCUGGACCGACAUUGACGCUGAUGAGCGAAAGCUAGGGGAGCAAACGGG
rnacentral:rRNA from 1 species